GACGAACGCUGGCGGCGUGCUUAACACAUGCAAGUCGAGCGGUAAGGCCCCUUCGGGGGUACACGAGCGGCGAACGGGUGAGUAACACGUGGGUGACCUGCCCUCAGCUCUGGGAUAAGCCUGGGAAACUGGGUCUAAUACCGGAUAUGACUCCAUGACGCAUGUCGUGGGGUGGAAAGCCUUGUGCGGCUGGGGAUGGGCCCGCGGCCUAUCAGCUUGUUGGUGGGGUGAUGGCCUACCAAGGCGACGACGGGUAGCCGGCCUGAGAGGGCGACCGGCCACACUGGGACUGAGACACGGCCCAGACUCCUACGGGAGCAGCAGUGGGAAUCUUGCGCAAUGGGCGAAAGCCUGACGCAGCGACGCCGCGUGA
rnacentral:rRNA from 1 species